rnacentral:rRNA from 1 species
AUUGAACGCUGGCGGCAUGCCCUACACAUGCAAGUCGAACGGUAACAGGUUAAGCUGACGAGUGGCGAACGGGUGAGUAAUAUAUCGGAACGUGCCCAGUCGUGGGGGAUAACUGCUCGAAAGAGCAGCUAAUACCGCAUACGACCUGAGGGUGAAAGCGGGGGAUCGCAAGACCUCGCGCGAUUGGAGCGGCCGAUAUC